AGCUAUUAGAGCUCUUUAAUAUUUUUUUCCCAGCAGGUUUUCUGACUCUGGUUGGAAAACCCAA